UCCAGGGUGGCCGAGUGGUUAUGGCAUCAGACUUCUAAUCUGAUUCACGGUGGUGAACGCGGGUUCGAAUCCCGCUCCUGGUCAA
rnacentral:tRNA from 1 species